GGGGGAAUAGUUCAGUCAGGUAGAACAGCGGUCUCCAAAACCGUCAACGAGGGUUCAAAUCCUUCUUCCCCCGCCA
rnacentral:tRNA from 4 species